AGGGGCGGUUAUUUUAACCUGAGAAGAACCCUUUGAACCUGAUCCGGAUUAUGCCGGCGUAGGAAUAGGACUUAGU
rnacentral:ncRNA from 1 species